AGUGAACGCUGGCGGUAGGCCUAACACAUGCAAGUCGAACGGCAGCACAGUAAGAGCUUGCUCUUACGGGUGGCGAGUGGCGGACGGGUGAGGAAUACAUCGGAAUCUACUUUUUCGUGGGGGAUAACGUAGGGAAACUUACGCUAAUACCGCAUACGACCUACGGGUGAAAGCAGGGGAUCUUCGGACCUUGCGCGAUUGAAUGAGCCGAUGUCGGAUUAGCUAGUUGGCGGGGUAAAGGCCCACCAAGGCGACGAUCCGUAGCUGGUCUGAGAGGAUGAUCAGCCACACUGGAACUGAGACACGGUCCAGACUCCUGCGGGAGGCAGCAGUGGGGAAUAUUGGACAAUGGGCGCAAGCCUGAUCCAGCCAUACCGCGUGGGUGAAGAAGGCCUUCGGGUUGUAAAGCCCUUUUGUUGGGAAAGAAAAGCAGCAGGUUAAUACCCCGCUGUUCUGACGGUACCCAAAGAAGAAGCACCGGCUAACUUCGUG
rnacentral:rRNA from 1 species